UGCAUGACAUUUCCGUCACUUUUCGUUCUUCACGCUGUGUGGUGCAGGUGCUUCGAUGGCAUCUUCUCAAUGUCACCGCUUUCUUUGCAUUCACUCUCUGCAACUUCAACCUCACCAUUGCUAUCAUCCACCAUUCAAAUCUCCUACUUUAAUCCCAAAGCCUUAUCAUUGCUUUUCUCGCAUUCGAAUCCGAAUCGCACCAAAAGCUUCUUUGAAGAACAACGGUGCCACCACCACCACCACCAAUGAUUCCGUUGAAACUAGCUCCCUUGAAGAUGAAUCUUCUCGCAUUUCGUCUUCUUCGGAUGAUUCCUUUGCUUUUCUUCGUCGAUUCGGAGAUGGGUGGCUUAAAUUUGAUGAACUGGGGAAGGAAAUACUGUCCAUUGCACUACCUGCUGCUUUGGCAUUGGCAGCUGAUCCACUUACCUCACUGAUCGACACAGCUUUUGUGGGCCACAUAGGACCUGCUGAAUUGGCUGCAGUUGGGGUUUCAACUUCUGUGUUUAAUUUGGUGUCAAAAAUAUUUAACAUUCCUUUACUUAAUAUUACCACAUCCUUUGUUGCCGAGGAACAGGCACUGAUCAGCAAGGAUUCCAGUCAAACUGAUGAAAGUGAUUUUGGUGGCAAAUACCAAAGCAAGAGGCAUAUUCCUUCAGUAUCAACUUCUUUAGCACUUGCUGCUACUCUUGGAAUUGCUGAAACUGUGCUUCUUUCCCUUGGUUCUGGCAUCAUUAUGAACAUCAUGGGUAUACCUGCUGAUUCCCCUAUGCGUGGACCUGCUGAGAACUUUCUUAUGCUAAGGGCCUUUGCCGCUCCAGCAAUUGUGAUUGCAUUAGCUGCUCAAGGAACUUUUCGUGGAUUUAAGGAUACAAAGACGCCUCUAUAUGCUGUUGGUGCUGGCAACGUUCUUAAUGCGAUAUUGGAUCCAAUAUUAAUAUUCUUUUUUGGUCUUGGCAUUAGUGGUGCUGCAGUUGCUACAGUGAUCUCUGAAUACUUAAUUGCUUUUAUUCUUCUAUGGAAAUUGACCGGAAAUGUGCUCCUAAUGCCUUUUCACUUUGAUGGGAGAAAAAUUCUCAGCUAUCUGAAAUCUGGUGGUCUUCUUAUUGGCAGGACUGUGGCUGUGUUUCUGACUUUGACACUGUCAACCUCUAUGGCAGCUAAGCAGGGCCCUAUACCUAUGGCUGGUCAUCAAAUUUGCAUGCAAGUUUGGCUGCCAAUAUCUUUGCUCACUGAUGCUCUGGCACUUGCUGGUCAGACACUUCUUGCCAGCAGUUACUCGCAGGGAAAUUACGAGCAAGCACGCCUCAUUACAUAUAGAGUAUUACAGAUUGGUUUAGGAACAGGAAUUACUUUGUCCGUGAUCUUAUUCUUUGGGUUUGGAUCAUUUUCAAGCUUAUUUACCACAGACUUGGAAGUUCUGAGUGUUGCUCGGUCAGGCAUAUUGUUUGUGGCUGGAACUCAACCAGUGAAUGCUUUGGCAUUUGUCAUUGAUGGACUUUACUAUGGGGUAUCAGACUAUGGUUAUGCUGCGUACUCAACGAUGCUGGUUGGACUAGUUUCUUCAAUCUUCUUGCUGGUAGCUGCUCCAGAACUUGGACUUCCUGGAGUCUGGGCAGGGUUGUUUCUCUUCAUGACUAUGCGUGUUCUCGCCGGAACAUGGAGGUAGAUAUUUGGCAUUGACACAUCUAAUUCAUUAUUAUGGUGACAGUUGGGACACUUUUUGUUGGUUGUUAUGACUCACUAUACCUCCAUAUUGGCAACCUUGCACCAAAAGGAAUCCCAGCAUGAAACUGGACAUGCUUGUCAACAUGUGAUAUGGCAUGCUGUCACAUGUUGAGCAGCAAAAAUGGCCCGUGGAGUAUGAUCUGGUAUAAAGAUGGCGGUGGAGACUGACUGACAUUAUUUUGAAGUCAUCCAGUAAAGGCCAACUUUUUGAAUGGCCAGGGCAUGAUCAAGAGCUCUAUGUUGUGAAAAAUAGGCCUGAUUUCCAUACCCUUGCAAUUGGAUAGAAUACAUAACAGUGUAGGACUAGAGCAAGUUAUUGGAAUGUUGCAGUACUUGGUGCAAACCAAUUUUCCAAAAUGAAAAUGUUGCUGAUACAGCUAGAUAGAAUUUAUAUAGUUUCCAAAGAAGUACACAGAGAGGGAGAGAACAAGUCAUAGAAGAAAUUUGUAUUUAUUAGGAGAUUGCAGUCUUUUGUUUAGCAUUGGUAGGAAAAGGCAACCUUGCAUAUUUGUGACAAUUUAUGCAUUUUUUUCUUUUGAUAUGUGAUUCUUCUAAAUGGAA